CCACGACCGAUCUGUAGCCUUAAGACAUUAGUUAGUGGAUCACUUUUCUCCAUCGUAUCACCAUCUCGUUGGCGUCAAGGAGAAAAGGAAUUUAUGAGAAAGGAUAUGCAGGAUCUCCUGUGAAGAUUUAAUUUUGGGUGUUUGAUUCGGAUUCAGAAUUCUAGCGGAUACCAAAUCAGGAGUAAGGUUGUGGUUACUAGCAUAGCUGUGGUUACCAAGCGUCAGGCUCCCCUCUUUGUUAGGUUGUUUAUAUGUUUUCCUAUCACCUUGUAGACCUCGAACUUGUUAUUUGCUUUCAUGUUGUAUCUUGAACUUGUAGUACCUC